UUUACUUGUACGCCCGCCAACCAGGAACUGGUUUUUCAGUUUCCUAUAAAAGCCCCGCAUUUGCUCUUCUGCUUUCAAAGUUCUGACACUAACCUCAGCUUUUACGAUACCUAAAACCCAACAAACAAGUUUUUAUUUUUUUAAUAUUUCUCGGAAUUUGGUUUCCUUGGCCGGAGCUUAAGCAACCUUAAUUUCCUGGUACGUAAAGUGCAGUUCCAUUUUCAUGCUGUGCCUCCCGCUUCUUUCACGCCAUCUUUUCCACCCUGGAAAUUUUGCCAUUCAGACGACGUCGUUUUGCGUAGCAGAGUAAAAAUAUCUGCUUUUCUCUCUCUAAUCAUUUUCUUAAGUGAGAAAAUCCAAUUUUCCCUGAGCAAUAAUUGAGGUAUGGGCGGCAGACGCUGUCGGUGUCGUGUCGCCUCGUCAUCAUCAUCUAUAGGAAAAUGGGGUUGACCUGACCUCUGGGUUUGCUGGUGGUUUCUUAGUGGUUAAUGAAGAUAAAAGAGAGAGAGACAAUAGGGGUUAAUGUGUAAUUGCAUUAUAUUUUUCGUUGGUGGGUUUUCUCCUUGCUUCCUCUGUCCCCAUGCCCAGGUCUCUUCCCGCACGCCCCACACAGAAUUUCGAUUUACCCGAUUAAUUUGGGUAAAAGACUGAAACUUGAGGAAUCUAGAUAGAUUCUGAAGAACCUCAAGAUCAUGGGCAGUUGUUUCGAGCUAGGGAUGUCAAAUCCUUGCCAUGAAGAUGCGUCUAAAUUGGAUAUGGGAAUUGGGCAUUUCGGUUGCUCGCACUAUAGAAGGAGAUGUAAGAUCAGAGCACCCUGUUGUGAUGAGAUAUUUGAUUGCAGGCAUUGCCAUAACGAAUUAAAGAACUCUAUGGAAGCGAAUCCCCUUGAUCGUCAUGACGUCCCUCGCCGCGAAUUGAAAAGGGUCAUAUGUUCCUUGUGUGGCACUGAACAAGAUGUUCAACAGCACUGCAUCCAGUGCGGAGUUUCCAUGGGGAAUUACUUUUGCUCCAAAUGGAACUUCUUUGAUGAUGAUGUUUCUAAGCGGCAGUACCAUUGUGAUGAAUGUGGAAUCUGCAGAACUGGAGGGGAGGAGAAUUUCUUCCACUGUAAUAGAUGUGGAUGUUGCUAUUCAAUCUUAUUGAAGGAUUCACACAAUUGUGUGGAAAGAGCAAUGCAUCACAAUUGCCCUGUUUGCUUUGAGUUUCUAUUUGAUACAACGAAAGACAUUACUGUCUUACCUUGUGGACACACGAUUCAUUUGGAAUGUGUUAAAGAGAUGGAGCGGCAUUUCCAGUAUGCGUGUCCUGUUUGCUCAAAAUCAUAUUGUGAUAUGUCUCGUGUGUGGGAAAAACUAGAUCAAGAGGUAUGCCUAUUGUGUUUAAGUUGAAUUUUAUUUUUAAUAAAUCAUGAUGUGCUUGUUCCUGAGGGAACCUUGUCUUUGAUUUAUUAAUAAAUUGUGCUGUAAACCGAAAUACAGGUUGCUUCAACACCUAUGCCUCAAAUGUAUCAAAAUAAGAUGGUAAAGAUGAGGAUUUACAUUUCUACAAGUUUCACAAAAAUCAAAUUUUAAUUCUUCAAGUAGUCAUGUUUCCUCUCAAUCAUUGGUUAGGUUUGGAUUCUUUGCAAUGACUGUGGGGAAACAUCAGAAGUGAUUUUCCAUAUUGUAGCACAGAAGUGCCUAAGAUGCAAUUCAUACAAUACAAGACAGACACGAGGAGGUCCCACAUCUUGCACAUCAGGGUUUUCAGAGAUGGUGAGAUGAGUAGCUUCUGAUUAACAUUUAGUUCUUGAAGGCUCUGUUACAAUAAAAAAAAAAAUGUCAUGAAAUAAGGAGAUUUCACUGUAGUCCAUGGAAGAGGAGCUGGAGUUUUAUUCUCCAGUCAAUCCAAAUUAUUCAUCUGUGUGUUACCUUGAGAAUCGUAAGCAUUGUAGUUUUUUUUUUUUUUAACUGAGUAAGCAUUGUAGUUCAUUAGAUGAGGUUGAUCAAGUUUCUAGGGUAACCACUUUUUACCCGAACGUUGGAUAGUUGCCUUAUCUGAAUAGGCAAAUAUCCUCUGUUCAGAUAAGGCUUUGCUGAAAUGGGAAUGUGGCAAGUGAUGAUGUGUUUUGUCAUAUAGAGAAGGAUUGAUGUGAGGGAUAAUUUGCUAGGACAGUUGAAAGAUACAUCAGAUAUGCUGAUAAAGCCUGAUAUAUGGAAUCUUCUUUGCAAAAGGUGGAGGGAGAGAGAGAGAGAAUUGACAAUGGGAAAGGAAACAUAUAUCCAUGGAUUGGAGUGUACUGGGCCUCUUAUCCCUCUUUAUGAUGUCACUACAGUUAUGUAAAGAACUUGAAUACAUUGUUUCUUGGAUUGAAUCAGGUUCUUGGAAAUUUCAAUGAGAAAUAAAAAGAUGUUUACUUUAAAAUGAGGAUUAUUUUUACCUCAUUGGAUUCCAUUCUUACAUCACAUGAAGCCAAAGCAGUAGCAUAUGUGAGGAGAACCCUGACAAAAGAACAAUCUAGUAGUAAAGACUUGGAAUAUUAACAUGAUCUUAGAUUUUAUGUCUCACUGAGUAUAAUUCUUAUUGCUUUGCUCAAUAAAUGGAAUAUCUUUCUUGCUUUCUUUGAAAAAUGUGAAAAAAG
rnacentral:misc_RNA from 1 species